rnacentral:pre_miRNA from 1 species
CGUGGUCGCUUUGUGUUCACUGCUAGCCUCGAUGCGUUUUCUACGAAAUUAAGGCACGCGGUGAAUGCCAAGAGACAGGAU